rnacentral:siRNA from 1 species
AUCGAGUAAAUUGUCGACGAUAAC